AGGUUUCGCGCAUGGGCGGAAACCCUGACGCAGCCGACGCCGCGUGAGUGAUGAAGCGCCUUCGGGUGUGUAAAGCUCUUUCGGCAGGACGAUAAUGACGGUACCUGAAGAAGAAGCUGCGGCUAACUACGUGCCAGCAGCCGCGGUAAUAAAA
rnacentral:rRNA from 1 species